rnacentral:sRNA from 1 species
UACUGCUCAAGCACGCGGUCAGUCCCCUC